rnacentral:lncRNA from 1 species
UGGUGGUUUGUUCACUCUGUUCCAGUCUACUGGCACUUUGAUCUUCUCAUAGAGCUGGAAGAUAACCAUGGCAUCUGACAGAUCACUAUACAAGUGAUUUACACGCGGAGUAACGCCCAGGGAGUUCAUCCAGUUCCUGAACGUCCUCUCUUCCCUUGUCUCACCUUCAAUAGAGCUCCAGUCGAUGUCUUGGUUCUCUGGCUUAUGCAGGGCAGGGUAUUUGUUGAACAAGUUGGCGAUGAAUGCCAAGUUCAACUUUGGGUUCCCCCGGACAACAUCAGUGGCUGUGACGAACUGCCGGCACCCCAGCCGCUCUGCCUGCUGCAGCAUGCACUCCGCACGCUGCACGUCGUCCUUCUCCCUUAAUCCUGACAUGUCAAUAGUAAUAGCUGGAAUGCCUUCUUCAUCUCCCUUGGGGGCAACUUG